rnacentral:rRNA from 1 species
CAAGUCGAACGCGAAAAGUCCCCUUCGGGGGACAAGUAGAGUGGCGUCCGGGUUGAGUAACACGUAGGUAAUCUACCUUCGGGUGGGGAAUAACGCAGGGAAACUUGCGCUAAUACCGCAUAAUGCAGCGGCACCACAUGGUGACAGUUGUUAAAGCGGGGGAUUUUCGAACCUCGCGCCUGAAGAGGAGCCUGCGGCAGAUUAGCUAGUUGGUAAGGUAAUGGCUUACCAAGGCGACGAUCUGUAACCGGCCUGAGAGGGCGGUCGGUCACACUGACACUGACAUACGGGUCAGACUCCUACGGGAGGCAGCAGUCGGGAAUUUUGGGCAAUGGGCGAAAGCCUGACCCAGCAACGCCGCGUGAAGGAUGAAAUCCUUCGGGAUGUAAACUUCGCAAGAAUGGGAAGAAUGAGUAGGGGCUAAUACUCCCUAUGAUGACGGUACCAUUUGUAAGCUCCGGCUAACUCCGUGCCAGCAGCCGCGGUAAUACGGGGGGAGCAAGCGUUGUUCGGAUUUACUGGGCGUAAAGGGCGCGUAGGCGGCCAGCGCAAGUCAGUUGUGAAAUCUCCGGGCUUAACUCGGAACGGUCAACUGAUACUGCGCGGCUAGAGUGCGGAAGGGGCAACUGGAAUUCUCGGUGUAGCGGUGAAAUGCGUAGAUAUCGAGAGGAACACCUGCGGCGAAGGCGGGUUGCUGGGCCGACACUGACGCUGAUGCGCGAAAGCCAGGGGAGCGAACGGGAUUAGAUACCCCGGUAGUCCUGGCCUUAAACGAUGGAUGCUUGGUGUCUGGAGUUUUAUAGUCUCCGGGUGCCGCAGCUAACGCGUUAAGCAUCCCGCCUGGGGAGUACGGUCGCAAGACUGAAACUCAAAGGAAUUGACGGGGACCCGCACAAGCGG